GAUGAACGCUAGCUACAGGCUUAACACAUGCAAGUCGAGGGGAAACGAUAGAGAAAGCUUGCUUUUUCUAGGCGUCGACCGGCGCACGGGUGAGUAACGCGUAUCCAACCUGCCCACCACUUGGGGAUAACCUUGCGAAAGUAAGACUAAUACCCAAUGACAUCUCUAGAAGACAUCUGAAGGAGAUUAAAGAUUUAUCGGUGAUGGAUGGGGAUGCGUCUGAUAGCUUGUUGGCGGGGUAACGGCCCACCAAGGCGACGAUCAGUAGGGGUUCGGAACGGAAGGUCCCCCACAUUGGAACUGAGACACGGUCCAAACUCCUACGGGAGGCAGCAGUGAGGAAUAUUGGUCAAUGGGCGAGAGCCUGAACCAGCCAAGUAGCGUGCAGGAUGACGGCCCUAUGGGUUGUAAACUGCUUUUAUAAGGGAAUAAAGUGAGCCUCGUGAGGCUUUUUGCAUGUACCUUAUGAAUAAGGACCGGCUAAUUCCGUGCCAGCCGCCGCAGUAA
rnacentral:rRNA from 1 species